GUCGCCUUUUUGUGAACACUUGCCCUCAUUCUGGAAUACGCUCUUUCGAACAAACAGCUCCCAUCUCCACUUAACACUAGCCCCCUUCCCUUGGAGCCGAGAAGCAGUAUUACAUUACCAGGCAUUCUCGUUCUCAGAGGUGCCUUCCUGAGAUGAGGUGUAAAUUAAUGCCAGCCUGACCACUCUGGGUCAUUAAAGACCAGAUGGUAAUUUUUGCAAGAGGAGCAACUGAUCCUUACUGGCCUGGCCCAAGUCCCACCUGGAUAAUUGCCUCCUGCCUACACAAUAUCCCCCCUCGCGUUUCAGACACAGAAAUGAUUUUCAUUUCAUCCUCUGAAAGCUAGCCAGGCAGGGCUGUGCUGGCGUCCCCCCCCUCCACUGCUGUUGAGUGGGCGCAUUGUAGCAAAGCAACAUUCCUCUGGGGGAUCCGCAAAGUGCACUAUGGCGAGAAGGGUGGGCAAUAGAAAUCUAAGUGGUUUAAUAAUAUAUUUGGAAAAAUAAGACUUAGUCAUCUUAAGUGAAAACACUUCAUCUCCAUUACAUUCUUUUAAGCCACAAGAUUGAUCAGAGAAGAAAAAAGUCUAAUUUGGACAUGGAUUAUCUUUUGCUGGAAUUAUAGAAGUAUAGCUCAUCCUCAGCCUAGGCGGACCCUGGAGUGGGUCCACUUUUGACGUUAAAUCUACCUACGGCAAUCAGGGAUGGGUUUCUGCUGGAGUAAAUUCCAUUUCUUACGACUAUCCAGGGAAGCCGAAUGAUACAGCAAGAACCUUGGAUGCUUCCUCAGCAUGUAACUGCCUACACAGGAGAAGAUCUGACUGGCAGGAUGAAUGGAACAGAUCAGUCUGACCAGGAAACAGCCAGGGCCAAGCACCAAGGUCAAGAGCACCCAGAGUUGACUGAUUGGCACAAAGGCUGAACCACCAUUCUCUUUCCAAUUAAAGUCCCACAAGGAAAAUGCUGAUGUUUCUCCUCCAGAAACCAGCUUUUUGGCACUUUCCCAAAGAACCCACCAUGGUCUGAAGCCACAGGUUCACAGCACUGAGAUUCCGUGGCUUUGUUUUCUCCAAGAGGAUAAAAGGCCUAUAAAUGAUAGACGUUUUCAACUGUUAUUUUUGCACUAGGAAAGAAAAUACAUAAAAUAUAUUCUCUCAGAAUGGAACAUGAGAACUGUAUGUCAUUUGAUCACAGGGAAAUGGGGGUUCUUCCCAUUGAUGACAUUCCUGCCUUUGCGGUGUGAAGGGGCAUAUGGACAACCGGCCAUCACGGUGAAGCCCCCAUGACCAUGAACUACAAUUCGGCUUCUACCUUAACUUGCCCCAUGGCUCAGGGGAUGGACCUGAACAACCCAGCCUCUCCAUUCUUCUCACACCAGUAAAUUCCAAAAUUGACUGUCCUGCAUGGCAAGGAAGAGGUCCCUCCAUUCUAGACAUGGGUGUGGUCAUUUUGGGGAGCAAGAUGCACAGGCACCUUUAAGAACAUUCUAGACAAAUCCUAACGGGUAUGAACACUGACAAGGAGAAAAUUAGGAGCUUCUAUUAAACAACUGAGGAAGGCUUAAGUGUGUCCUACCCUUCAGGGUGUGUUGAUAUAAUGAGCUACCCUUUAGAUUUUUCCAGUAAUAAAUAAAAGGAAGCUUCAUAUCA
ensembl:lncRNA